UACGUAGGGUGCGAGCGUUAAUCGGAAUUACUGGGCGUAAAGCGUGCGCAGGCGGUCUUUUAAGUCAGAUGUGAGAUCCCCGGGCUUAACCUGGGAACUGCGUUUGAAACUGGAAGGCUAGAGUGUGGCAGAGGGGGGUGGAAUUCCACGUGUAGCAGUGAAAUGCGUAGAGAUGUGGAGGAACACCGAUGGCGAAGGCAGCCCCCUGGGCUAACACUGACGCUCAUGCACGAAAGCGUGGGGAGCAAACAGG
rnacentral:rRNA from 1 species